AGGAGGAACAGCCCCAGUGGCGGGGCAGCUCUGGAAACCUGAUUCAGUCCCCGCAGGAACUCCGGAGCUCUCCGUCUGCAGGGCCUGGAGGCUCGGGCCGGG
rnacentral:pre_miRNA from 1 species